rnacentral:rRNA from 1 species
UACGUAGGGUGCGAGCGUUUAAUCGGAAUUACUGGGCGUAAAGAGUGCGUAGGCGGUUCGUUAUGUCUGCUGUGAAAGCCCCGGGCUUAACCCGGGAAUGGCAGUGGAAACUGGCGGGCUUGAGUGUGGCAGAGGGGGGUGGAAUUCCGCGUGUAGCAGUGAAAUGCGUAGAGAUGCGGAGGAACACCGAUGGCGAAGGCAGCCCCCUGGGCUAACACUGACGCUGAGGAGCGAAAGCGUGGGGAGCGAACAGG